GAUGCANAAGGAGGAAGUGGAAUUCCCAUGGUACGUGAAAUGCCUAGAGAUAUGGAGACACCAGUGGCGAAGGCGACUUUCUGGUCUGUAACUGACACUGAGGCUCUGUAAGCUUGGGGNANCAUACAGGGAUUAGAUACCCUGGUAGUCCACGCCGUAAACGAUGAGUGCUAAGUGUUAGAGGGUUUCCGCCCUUUAGUGCUGAAGUUAACGCAUUAAGCACUCCGCCUGGGGAGUACGGCCGCAAGGCUGAUAACUCAAAGGAAUUGACGGGGGCCCGCACAAGCGGUGGAGCAUGUGGUUUAAUUCGAAGCAACGCGAAGAACCUUACCAGGUCUUGACAUCCUCUGAAAACCCUAGAGAUAGGGCUUCUCCUUCGGGAGCAGAGUGACAGGUGGUGCAUGGUUGUCGUCAGCUCGUGUCGUGAGAUGUUGGGUUAAGUCCCGCAACGAGCGCAACCCUUGAUCUUAGUUGCCAUCAUUAAGUUGGGCACUCUAAGGUGACUGCCGGUGACAAACCGGAGGAAGGUGGGGAUGACGUCAAAUCAUCAUGCCCCUUAUGACCUGGGCUACACACGUGCUACAAUGGACGGUACAAAGAGCUGCAAGACCGCGAGGUGGAGCUAAUCUCAUAAACCGUUCUCAGUUCGGAUUGUAGGCUGCAACUCGCCUACAUGAAGCUGGAAUCAGCAUAGAAUGCGGGGAUCGAGCACUGCC
rnacentral:rRNA from 1 species